UCGGUAAACUUAGUGUUGUUAAUUGGAUAAUCAAUUUCAUCAUUUGUCAUGUUUUUGUCUAAUGAAAAUAGAACUCUAAUAUUUUUUUUAACAUUUUAUAUAGAAAUCCUGUAUCAGAGCAGCAAAUUAAUAUUUUUCUUUUGUUUCAGGAUGUACUGGAUCAUCUCUGCUGCUCAGAAGAAACAAACUGCUUGUCUAUGCAGUGCGGGUGUAUUACAAAUGUUUGCGAAAAAGUGGUGUCUGUAGAUAUUUAGGAAACUGUGCUGGAUUAUCUUGACUCGGAAGACUUAAAUACAGGGUUGAAGUUCUCGUUGCAGAUUUUGACAUGAAAUGGAGGAUGUACUGGAUCAUCAAUGCUGCUCAGAAGAAACAAAUUGCUUGUCUAUGCAGUGCGGGUGCAUUACAAAUGUUUGCGAAAAAGUGGCGUCUGUAGAUAUUUAGGAAACUGUACUGGAUUAUUUUGACUCUGAAGACCUAAAUACAGGGUUGAAGUUCUCGUUGCAGAUUUUGACAUGGAUUGGAGGAUGUACUGAAUCAUCUCUGCUGCUCAGAAGAAACAAACUUCUUGUCUAUGCAGUGCGGGUGUAUUACAAAUGUUUGCGAAAAAGUGGUGUCUGUAGAUAUUUAGGAAACUGUGCUGGAUUACCUUGACUCGGAAGACUUAAAUACAGGGUUGAAGUUCUCGUUGCAGAUUUUGACAUGGAUUGGAGUUAAGCAGUGCUGGUGAAUAGUGCAAUAGUGCGAAGCAGUGAUGAAGUGAAAACAAUAGUAUGGCACUAAGCCGUGAUUGUGAAGAGUGCAGUAAGCAGCACGGGUGAAGUGAGUGAAAUAGUACAGCACUAAGCAGUACUCGUCAAGUGAGUGCAAUAGUACAGCACUAAGCAGCACGGUUGAAGUGAGUGCAAUAGGAUGGCGCUAAU